UACGUAGGGUGCAAGCGUUGUCCGGAAUUAUUGGGCGUAAAGAGCGUGUAGGCGGCCCGAUUAGUCCGCUGUGAAAGUCCAGGGCUCAACCCUGGAAUGCCGGUGGAUACUGUCGGGCUAGAGUCCGGAAGAGGCGAGUGGAAUUCCUGGUGUAGCGGUGAAAUGCGCAGAUAUCAGGAGGAACACCAAUUGCGAAGGCAGCUCGCUGGGACGUAACUGACGCUGAGACGCGAAAGCGUGGGGAGCAAACAGG
rnacentral:rRNA from 1 species